CAUCGCGUUUAGAAGAAUUUCAACUCUUAUUAGGGAGAAAAUUGCCCUCUCUCCUCUAGACCUCAACAAACAUCAUAUUGAGCCUUAGAUUGUCUUGACCAAGGCUCAUAACGUAACCCCACUCUCCCUCCCAUAAAAUGACUUUUUCUAGUCACAUUGACGUCAAUAUGUCUUGGAACGUCAAGACAAACCCAUUUUUUUCUUCUCCAAGAUAUUUUUACCAUCUAAAUGUGACAUGACAACGUUUGAAAGAGUGGAUGCCAUAUGUAGCAUAUUGAAAAUAUUUAUAGAGGCAAGGCUUGGUUGUACGCCAAGUGGGUGAACAACCUAAACAACGGUCAUUAUAUCAAUAGAGGCAAGGCAUGGUCG
rnacentral:lncRNA from 1 species